UACGUAGGGCGCAAGCGUUGUCCGGAAUUAUUGGGCGUAAAGAGCUCGUAGGCGGCCAGUUGCGUCUGCUGUGAAAUCCCGGGGCUCAACCCCGGGCGUGCAGUGGAUACGGGCUGGCUAGAGGCAGGCAGGGGGAGAACGGAAUUCCCGGUGUAGCGGUGAAAUGCGCAGAUAUCGGGAGGAACACCGGUGGCGAAGGCGGUUCUCUGGGCCGUGUACUGACGCUGAGGAGCGAAAGCGUGGGGAGCGAACAGG
rnacentral:rRNA from 1 species